rnacentral:rRNA from 1 species
GACGAACGCUGGCGGCGUGCUUAACACAUGCAAGUCGAACGAAGAGCGAUGGGAGCUUGCUUCUUUCAAUCUUAGUGGCGAACGGGUGAGUAACGCGUAAUCAACCUGCCCUUCAGAGGGGGACAACAGUUGGAAACGACUGCUAAUACCGCAUACGAUCUAAUCUCGGCAUCGAGGAGAGAUGAAAGGUGGCCUCUACAUGUAAGCUAUCACUGAAGGAGGGGAUUGCGUCGGAUUAGCUAGUUGGAGGGGGAACGGCCCACCAAGGGGAGGAUCAGUAGCGGGUCUGGGAGGAUGACCGGCCACAUUGGAACUGGGACACGCCCCAGACUCCUCCGGGAGGCAGCAGUGGGGAAUUUUCGCCAAUGAGCGAAAGCCUGAGGCAGCAAGCCCGCUGGGUGGAGGAGGGCCUUCGGUUGUUAAACUCCUUUUAUUGGGAAGGAAAGGCUUCUUGCGAAAAGUUAGAAGGAUUGACGGUACCGGAAGAGAAAGCCACGGCUAACUACGUG